GAUUUCUGGUAUGGCGCACUUGGCCCGCCUCGUUACGGGGUUGUGUGCCUCGGUGCGCCUGCCAUCCUUCUGGGGAACUAUCAUUAUGCGCUUCCUUCACUGUGAAGACUUUUGGUAGGGAACCUGAUCAUUUACUUUGAAAAAAUUAGAGUGUUUAAAGCAGGCUUUUGCUAUGAAUACAUUAGCAUGGAAUAAUAAUUUAGGACUUCGGUUCUAUUUUGUUGGUUUCUAGGACUGAAGUAAUGAUUGAUAGGGAUAGUUGGGGGUGCUAGUAUUCAGCGGCCAGAGGUGAAAUUCUCGGAUUCGCUGAAGACUAACUUAUGCGAAAGCAUU
rnacentral:rRNA from 1 species